rnacentral:rRNA from 1 species
UACGUAGGUGGCAAGCGUUGUCCGGAAUUAUUGGGCGUAAAGCGCGCGCAGGCGGUUUCUUAAGUCUGAUGUGGAAGCCCACGGCUCAACCGUGGAAGGUCAUUGGAAACUGGGGAACUUGAGUGCAGAAGAGAAGAGCGGAAUUCCACGUGUAGCGGUGAAAUGCGUAGAGAUGUGGAGGAACACCAGUGGCGAAGGCGGCUCUUUGGUCUGUAACUGACGCUGAGGCGCGAAAGCGUGGGGAUCAAACAGG